rnacentral:rRNA from 1 species
GACGAACGCUGGCGGCGCGCCUAACACAUGCAAGUCGAACGGAGUUGUGUUGAAAGCUUGCUGGAUAUACAACUUAGUGGCGGACGGGUGAGUAACACGUAGAGUAACCUGCCUCGUCAGAGUGGAAUAACGUUUGGAAACGAACGCUAAUACCGCAUAACGUUGGAGAAGAGGGCAAUCCUACUUUUUACCAAAGAUUUAUCGCUGAGAGAUGGGCUCGCGGCCGAUUAGGUAGUUGGUGAGAUAACAGCCCACCAAGCCGACGAUCGGUAGCCGGACUGAGAGGUUGAUCGGCCACAUUGGGACUGAGACACGGCCCAG